UUAAACGGUAGGGUAUUGGCCUACCGUGGCAAUGACGGGUAACGGGGAAUUAGGGUUCGAUUCCGGAGAGGGAGCCUGAGAAACGGCUACCACAUCUAAGGAAGGCAGCAGGCGCGCAAAUUACCCAAUCCUAAUAGCAGGGAGGUAGUGACAAGAAAUAACAAUACAGG
rnacentral:rRNA from 1 species